rnacentral:tRNA from 11 species
ACUUUGGCGCAAUGGUAGCGUGUGGAACUUCUACUGCCAAGGCUCUGGGUUCGAGUUC